rnacentral:rRNA from 1 species
GACGAACGCUGGCGGCGUGCCUAAUACAUGCAAGUCGAGCGAGUCUGCCUUGAAGAUCGGAGUUCUUGCACUCUGUGAAACAAGAUACAGGCUAGCGGCGGACGGGUGAGUAACACGUGGGUAACCUGCCCAAGAGAUCGGGAUAACACCUGGAAACAGAUGCUAAUACCGGAUAACAACAGAUGAUGCCUAUCAACUGUUUAAAAGAUGGUUCUGCUAUCACUCUUGGAUGGACCUGCGGUGCAUUAGCUAGUUGGUAGGGUAACGGCCUACCAAGGCGGUGAUGCAUAGCCGAGGUGAGAGACUGAUCGGCCACAUUGGGACUGAGACACGGCCCAAACUCCUACGGGAGGCAGCAGUAGGGAAUCUUCCACAAUGGACGCAAGUCUGAUGGAGCAACGCCGCGUGAGUGAAGAAGGGGUUCGGCUCGUAAAGCUCUGUUGUUGGUGAAGAAGGACAGGGGUAGUAACUGACCUUUGUUUGACGGUAAUCAAUUAGAAAGUCACGGCUAACUAAGUG